UUGACCUCGGAUCAGGUAGGGAUACCCGCUGAACUUAAGCAUAUCAAUAAGCGGAGGAAAAGA
rnacentral:rRNA from 3 species